CUCCUUCCCCCUUCCUCGCGCGUCGCUGCGCUGCCGUGACCCUGCCGCCGCCCACCACCACCUACCGGGAUCUGGCCGGCAACCACGGGAUUGAUCCCGACCACCAUGGCUCCCCACCACACCACCACCUCCACCUCCCGUCCCGCACACCAAAAAAUCCCGACCACUAUCGCCCCGCCUCCUCCUCCUGCUGCCCGGCUCGGCCCUCCUCCCACCUGGCGUCGCCCUGCCUCCUCCUCCCGCCCGGCGAGGCCCCGCCUCAUCCUCCUCCCUCCUGGCGCAGCCCUCCUUCCACCUGGCGCCGACCCGCCUCCUCCUCCCGGCGGGCACGCCUCUGUCCCGCAACGCCGCCCUAGCGAUGGCCCCGGCCCCGCUCCACUCCAGCCAUGAUAGUUUUUUCUACUACUGUGAGUGUGUCUGCAGUCCACCGGCCCCCUCCUCUACUUCAGAUCCCGUGCAACCUUCCAAUGCAGUUCGUCACACCAACCCCCUGCAGCUCUCUCCUCCCCAAACCAUGGAUCGCGCGCCCGGAUCCGGGUUCUUCCCCCGUGCAUCGUACUCUUCUCGCACGGAUCGAGAGAGUUCGAGGUGUGCCACCCCCGCCGUGGUCCUGCCUACUUCUCCUCCUUCCCUGCUACACCAGCAGGGCGUCGGUCACAGGAUCUGCCUCCCCCCUAUUUGCAGCUCCUUUGUUUCUUUUUUGCAGCUCGCUGAGUAUUAUUUUGAAGUUCAGUGAGAUCCAUGUGCGCCGGAUCAUGCGUUGCCGACCCCCCUGCAUGCCUCCUCGCACGCGAGGUGCUGCGCUGUGUAGGGAGGCGUCUACACCAGCGUCGGGGCCCGUUCCACCACGGAGAGAAAAAGUGCGUCGAAAAAGGGCAAGAAAAGUGUUGUUGUCCACCGUCGAUGAGAGCCCAACGGGCACUGUGAUGCAGUUCUGUCCACCUGCGUGUGCAGCCCAGAAAUAAUCUAUGGCCUAACUGUGUUUUUCUUUUAAGAAAAGAGUCAAGUGGACUGCGGUUGGCUGUUUUGAAGUGUCCUACAGUAGGAGGAGAACCAACCCUUCUACUCUACUUGUGAACAGAAGUUCAGUCCGACACAUACGUGCAUGCACUGAGGCAGGAACGCGGGCGGCGGUUAUGAUCAGAAGGAGUACACUUAUAAUAUGUUUGGGUGUUCGCUUUGAACUCUCUUGAAGCUCAUUCGGGCUCAAACAACAAACGUAUCACUUCGAGGAGUACUGCGGUCCACUUCAGUCAAAUGUAUUUAUUUUUUUGUAAAAAAUAGAUGUAUUCCGUUUGGACACUGCUUGCGGUUUGCACGGCUCGUGUGUGAAGUGCACGAUGUGCUUGUGUGUUUCAAAACCUAGUCAAUUAUGUGAA